AGAAGAUGCAGUAGGUAAUGAAAAUGACAAGCUUCUUGAUGCAGAAAGAAGCGAAGAAAAUCAUACGCAACAAAUUUCAUCAGAAACCAACACGGCAGGUCCAGCUUACGUUAUUUGCAGAGGAUGACAACUAUGAGGCAGAAGAUAAUCAAGUAAUGGUCUUAUUGGUGAUGGUGGAAAAUUGUCGUCCAUGGAUGAUCUACAACGAAAGAAAGUGAAACUGAUGAUGGCCAAGUGAUAACCAGUUGUAGAGGCAGAUGACGAGACUUCGACAGCUGAAGAGAAUACACCUCUGGUUUGAAGAAAAUCGUGACUUUUUAAUGAACACUGAACUCUACUAAGACUCUUACAUGUAAGGCUGGUUUCUAUUAUCAAAGAUACUGUGAUCGCAAAAACUUUGAUAUUGUAAUCAGCCUUUACAGAUUGAGUUUACUGGUAUAAACCAGGCUUGAUUACUUGCCAGCUUGAUUGUGUAUGGUAAUA